rnacentral:rRNA from 1 species
GACGAACGCUGGCGGCGUGCUUAACACAUGCAAGUCGAACGUGAUUUUUGUGGAAAUUCUUUCGGGAAUGGAAAUGAAAUGAAAGUGGCGAACGGGUGAGUAACACGUGAGCAACCUACCUUACACAGGGGGAUAGCCGUUGGAAACGACGAUUAAUACCGCGUGAGACCACAGAAUCGCAUGAUAUAGGGGUCAAAGAUUUAUCGGUGUAAGAAGGGCUCGCGUCUGAUUAGCUAGUUGGAGGGGUAAAGGCCUACCAAGGCGACGAUCAGUAGCCGGUCUGAGAGGAUGAACGGCCACAUUGGAACUGAGACACGGUCCAAACUCCUACGGGAGGCAGCAGUGGGGAAUAUUGCACAAUGGGGGGAACCCUGAUGCAGCGACGCCGCGUGAGCGAAGAAGGUUUUCGAAUCGUAAAGCUCUGUCCUAUGAGAAGAUAAUGACGGUAUCAUAGGAGGAAGCCCCGGCUAAAUACGUG